rnacentral:rRNA from 1 species
AUUGAACGCUGGCGGCAUGCCUUACACAUGCAAGUCGAACGGCAGCACGGGAGCAAUCCUGGUGGCGAGUGGCGAACGGGUGAGUAAUAUAUCGGAACGUGCCCAGUCGUGGGGGAUAACGUAGCGAAAGCUACGCUAAUACCGCAUACGAUCUAUGGAUGAAAGCGGGGGAUCGCAAGACCUCGCGCGAUUGGAGCGGCCGAUAUCAGAUUAGGUAGUUGGUGAGGUAAAGGCUCGCCAAGCCGACGAUCUGUAGCUGGUCUGAGAGGACGACCAGCCACACUGGGACUGAGACACGGCCCAGACUCCUACGGAGGCAGCAGUGGGGAAUUUUUGGGACAAUGGGCGCAAGCCUGAUCCAGCAAUGCCGCGUGCAGGAUGAAGGCCUCGGUUGUAAC